UUUAGUCGUUAUGGACUGUGAAAAUUUUGGUCCGAAUCGCUUUCACUAUCCUUUCGCCACCGACUCAUCUAACGACGAAGACGACGACAACGUUUGUCUGACUCCGCGAGUGAAACAUUACGUGGAGGAGGUAAGAUUCGGUGAAACCAAACCCUCCUCUUCCUCCUUCAAGGCGGCGAGGAAAGCUAGAUGUAAGGCAGAAAAAGGUUGACGUGUCGGUGUCAGUGAAUCCCAAAAAGUACAGAGGCGUGAGGCAGAGAUGGUGGGGGUGCGAAGCUGCCGUUGCUUAGGAUCGAGCCGCGAUUCGUCAUAAGGGUCACAACACGCAAACGAAUUUCUGACUCCUCCUCCUCCUCCUUCGCCAGGGGAAACACCCGUUAUCGAUCUAUAAACGGUUUCCAGCUGCGAUUCGGGGAACCAGAGCCUCUGUUCUCCGACGUCGGAAACAGAGUAUUGGACAGACCUGGAGAGGGAACCAAUCGAUAUGGCGGUGGAGGUAAAGCCCACCGUAGGAGCUCAUGUGGGUGGAUAUGCUCAUGUUGACGUGAAUGUAGGUACAAAGCAUGGGGCUCACUCCUGGGAAUGCAGCUAGCAGAAAGGGAUAUCACUGUAGCAUGUGUUGACUACAGGCUACGGAAUGUAAGACCGGCAAUCCAGAAAAUUCUCACAGAUUCUGCAAUGAGACAUGUUUUGUCUGAUCUGUGACUGAGACUUACCAGAAAGCUCUCACGGAGCAAUGUAACCUUAACAUGUUGAAGAUGUUGAAUGAGGCUGAGAGAUUGGUGGUUCUGGUGUUUACUUCUCAGAUUGUUUUAAAAGAUGCGCUUGGAUCACACCCAAGUCUGGUAAAAAAAAUUGAGUUUGGAAUUUAGGUGGUAACUGAUGACCAUUAAAAUAGGAAUAUGAAUGAGUAGAAAAAGAAUGAAU